rnacentral:rRNA from 1 species
AACGAACGCUGGCGGCAUGCCUAACACAUGCAAGUCGAACGAGACCUUCGGGUCUAGUGGCGCACGGGUGCGUAACGCGUGGGAACCUGCCCUUAGGUUCGGAAUAACUCCCCGAAAGGGGUGCUAAUACCGGCUAAUGUCUUCGGACCAAAGAUUUAUCGCCGUGGGAUGGGCCCGCGUUGGAUUAGCUAGUUGGUAGGGUAAAAGCCUACCAAGGCGACGAUACAUAGCUGGUCUGAGAGGAUGAUCAGCCACACUGGGACUGAGACACGGCCCAGACUCCUACGGGAGGCAGCAGUGGGGAAUAUUGGACAAUGGGCGAAAGCCUGAUCCAGCAAUGCCGCGUGAGUGAUGAAGGCCUUAGGGUUGUAAAGCUCUUUUACCCGGGAUGAUAAUGACAGUACCGGGAGAAUAAGCUCCGGCUAACUCCGUG